rnacentral:rRNA from 1 species
GAAUCUGCCUUCAGGUCGGGGACAACAGAAGGAAACUUCUGCUAAUCCCGGAUGAGCCUUAGGGUAAAAGAGAAAUUGCCUGAAGAUGAGCUCGCGUCUGAUUAGCUAGUUGGUGGGGUAAAAGCUUACCAAGGCAACGAUCAGUAGCUGGUCUGAGAGGAUGAGCAGCCACACUGGGACUGAGACACGGCCCAGACUCCUACGGGAGGCAGCAGUGGGGAAUUUUCCGCAAUGGGCGAAAGCCUGACGGAGCAAGACCGCGUGGGGGAGGAAGGCUCUAGGGUUGUAAACCCCUUUUCUUUGGGAAGAAGUUCUGACGGUACCAAAGGAAUCAGCCUCGGCUAACUCCGUGCCAGCAGCCGCGGUAAUACGGAGGAGGCAAGCGUUAUCCGGAAUGAUUGGGCGUAAAGCGUCCGCAGGUGGCCAUGUAAGUCUGCUGUCAAAACCCAGGGCUCAACUCUGGUCAGGCAGUGGAAACUACAAAGCUAGAGUCUGGUAGGGGCAAAGGGAAUUCCCGGCGUAGCGGUGAAAUGCGUAGAUUUCGGGAAGAACAUCGGUGGCGAAAGCGCUUUGCUAGACCAGAACUGACACUCAGGGACGAAAG